ACCUCACUCUGAUUUAGGAACAUUUCUCCUUAUUAGCCUUUCUUUCUUUUUGCCCAUCAAAUACAGAAGUUUCAUAUUUCUAUCGUGUAUGGCGCAUACUAACCUUCAAAGCAAAGGGAAAGGACACUGUGAACAACAAAUGUCCCGUGGCAAACAGAUCUAUCCUCACUGGAUCAAUGGUCUAGUCUGAGAAUGAUGAACACUGGAUGUGCUCAGCAGAGCAAAGGAUUCCGAUGCUGCUACUAUGGAAUAAGCUGGUGUGUUUUGGGGUGCUGAGGCUCACGUUGUAUAUACGUGUAAAUAAAACCAUAUAUCUUAAAGACA